CCUACGGGGGGCAGCAGUGGGGAAUAUUGCACAAUGGGGGAAACCCUGAUGCAGCAACGCCACGUGAGCGAUGAAGGCCUUCGGGUCGUAAAGCUCUGUCCUAAGGGAAGAAUACUGACGGUACCUUAGGAGGAAGCCCCGGCUAACUACGUGCCAGCAGCCGCGGUAAUACGUAGGGGGCUAGUGCUAUCCGGAAUUACUGGGCGGAACGGGUGCGUAGGAGGCCCUUCAAGUAAGAGAUGAAAGGCUACGGCUCAACCGUAGUAAGCCUUUGAAACUGUAGGGAUUGAGUGACGGAGGGGUUAGUGGAAUACCCAGCGUAUCGAUGAAAUGCGUUGACAUUGGGAGGAACAGCAGUUGCGAAGGCUGCUCACUGGACUGUAUCUGACGCUGAGGCACGAAAGCCUGGGGAGCGAACAGGAUUAGAUGCCCGUGUAGUC
rnacentral:rRNA from 1 species